rnacentral:lncRNA from 1 species
UUGAGAAAAAGAAGAAAAAAAUAAAAAAUGAAGAGGCAAAAAUAUGAAAAAAAAAUAAAAAGAAAAAAAUUUAUAGAAAAUUUUAAAACAAAGAAAAAAGUGAACAAAAAAAAAAUGAAAGCACAUAAAAAAAAAGUAAAAAAAAGAAGAAAAAUUCGGAAGGAGAAAAAGUUAAUGAAAAAUUAUAAAAAUGCAAUAGAAAAUAACCAAGAAUGAUAAAAGAAAAAAAG